rnacentral:rRNA from 1 species
CCUACGGGAGGCAGCAGUGGGGAAUCUUGCGCAAUGGGCGGAAGCCUGACGCAGCAACGCCGCGUGCGGGAAGAAGGCCUUAGGGUCGUAAACCGCUUUCAGGGGGGACGAAGCUUCCGGGGUUAAUAGCCUACGGGGUGACGGUACUCCCAAAAGAAGGUCCGGCUAACUACGUGCCAGCAGCCGCGGUAAUACGUAGGGACCGAGCGUUGUCCGGAAUCAUUGGGCGUAAAGAGCGUGUAGGCGGCUUGGUAGGUCUCGUGUGAAAUCCCGCGGCUCAACCGCGGAUCCGCACGGGAAACCCCUAAGCUCGAGUCCGGAAGAGGAGAGUGGAAUUCCUGGUGUAGCGGUGAAGUGCGCAGAUAUCAGGAAGAACACCCGUAGCGAAGGCGGCUCUCUGGGACGGUACUGACGCUGAGACGCGAAAGCGUGGGGAGCAAACAGGAUUAGAUACCCUGGUAGUCCACGCCGUAAACGAUGGGCGCUAGGUGUGGGAGGUGUCGACUCCUCCCGUGCCGAAGCUAACGCAUUAAGCGCCCCGCCUGGGGAGGUACGGCCGCGAGACGAAACGUACAAGAAGUAGACGG